ACCGGAUAACUUACAAAAGUUACUCAGUAAAUUUUUGAGGAGGCCACUAUGAAUCAAAUCAGCUCGACUAAAAAUCACCAAGUCAUCUGCAAAGAACAUGUACGAAAGACUCGGUCCUAUGUGCGAUAGUUGAAUGGGACUCCACUCCCCUGUAGAGAUACUUUUGUGAAAUCUAUGACCCAACCAUUUCAUACUGAGGAGAAAGAAG
rnacentral:lncRNA from 1 species